CUGGAAGGAAGCUCUGCUCCCUGCCCUUCUGAUGGGGUUUAUGGAUACAGAUGUCCUAGUGGCUUCUACUGUCCUGCUGGCACUGGACUAGAGCUGCCCUGUGAGCCUGGCACCUUCAGCCCUAUGCCUGGGGCAAGUACUUGCCUCCCUUGCCCAGCUGGUAUGGCCUGCAGCCAUGCAGCCACUGCAGAGCCACUCAGCUGCCCCAGAGGUUAUUAUUGUCCAGCUAGGACUGCUGCUCCCCUGCCGUGCCCUGAAGGGACACUGAAUACCAUGGAGGGGGCAUUGGCCCCCACUGCUUGCAAGCUGUGUCCAGUGGGGAGGUACUGCAGAGGAGAUGCUAACUGGGAACCUGAUGGUCUGUGUUCAGCUGGGUACUAUUGUGAAGGAGGAGCCACUGAUGC